GCAAUUGGAAUGAGAACAAUUUAAAUCCCUUAUCGAGGAUCAAUUGGAGGGCAAGUCUGGUGCCAGCAGCCGCGGUAAUUCCAGCUCCAAUAGCGUAUAUUAAAGUUGUUGCAGUUAAAAAGCUCGUAGUUGAAUUUCUGGCUCAGGCCGUUUGGCCCCCUCUGGGUGCGUCAUUCGACUGAGCCAUCCUCGCGGAAAAGGCUUCGGUCAUUCAUUUGUCGGAGUUCGGACUCGCGUCCUUUACUGUGAGAAAAUUUAAGUGUUUAAAGCAGGCUUGUCUGUUUGAAAAUCUUAGCAUGGAAUAAUGAGAUAGGACCUU
rnacentral:rRNA from 1 species